AUUGAACGCUGGCGGCAGGCCUAACACAUGCAAGUCGAGCGGCAGCGGGAAAGUAGCUUGCUACUUUUGCCGGCGAGCGGCGGACGGGUGAGUGAUGCCUGGGAAAUUGCCCAGUCGAGGGGGAUAACAGUUGGAAACGACUGCUAAUACCGCAUACGCCCUACGGGGGAAAGCAGGGGACCUUCGGGCCUUGCGCGAUUGGAUAUGCCCAGGUGGGAUUAGCUAGUUGGUGAGGUAAUGGCUCACCAAGGCGACGAUCCCUAGCUGGUCUGAGAGGAUGAUCAGCCACACUGGAACUGAGACACGGUCCAGACUCCUACGGGAGGCAGCAGUGGGGAAUAUUGCACAAUGGGGGAAACCCUGAUGCAGCCAUGCCGCGUGUGUGAAGAAGGCCUUCGGGUUGUAAAGCACUUUCAGCGAGGAGGAAAGGUUGAUGCCUAAUACGUAUCAACUGUGACGUUACUCGCAGAAGAAGCACCGGCUAACUCCGUGCCAGCAGCCGCUGUAAGAC
rnacentral:rRNA from 1 species